GCUGCAUGGAGAUGCUGACUGUCCCCCAUAUAGAUACAUUGAUUCAAUGCAUCUCUAUUAGGAGAUGCUGAUUGGCGCAGUGUUUCGCUGUGCAUCUGCAAUAGCCUCCUAAUACUUUCCUACAAUCUCAACCAUGGAAGCAGGGCCAGCCGCAGCAUAAUCGGAGCAGUGAGGAAGAAAAGGUGAGUGAACUCACCUUUCCACUGCAAUCUGAGGGGAGUCGGGGUCACCACUCCAUUUAAUUUUUAUUUUUUUUAAACACCAUGCAGUGCUAAGGUUUGGUGAAUCCCUUUUCAAUUGUAAUGAGAAAUCAUUGGCACUGAAGGGGUUAACGGGCUCUAGUUUUGUGUUACGACUGAUGGGAGGAUAUUCUAAUUGCUCUAAGAAAACCUGAGAGAGUUGCAUGAGAGAUUGAUCACUUUUAGGUAUAGCACAAACCUUCACUUCUAUUGUAUUGCAAUGAAUUACCCAUUAUCAGUGAUUUUACAGUCAGAGGGAGCAGAAUGGAGAAAGAUCCCUGUGUGUUCCAUGUUCCAAGAAAUCCUUCUGCUCUAAGCAAUUGGACAGAGUCUUUGGUGACUGACUCACAGAAUAUAUGAAUCCUAUAGCUUCAAACUGGGUAAUGAAGUUUUAAAUUCCUUUCUUUACAAUAGUCCACCUUUCUAAAAAUGUGCCACUGAUCAAUGGUGCAGGUAGGAACUCGAACACUUGCCUGAAUUGGUCAUUCUUAUGAUUUGAGCAGUCAUUAUUCUGAAUAGUCCAACAGAAGACCCAUAAAGAGUAAAACAGCACAGAUAUCCACAUUGGCGGUCUAUCAAUUAUCACAUGGCACCCAGCAUUGCAAGUGGAUGUACACACCCUGCAUUAGCUAUAAAACCAGAAAACUCUGAAUGUUUUAUUAAAUAUCUCACCCAUACAGACAUAUAAUAUUACAAUACAAUGUAGGUUCUAAACGGAACGACCACUACAAAAACAGGCCCAUUAGCAGCAUCCAUACAAAGAAUAAACAAAGAGUCAUUAUUAUACAUUCCAGAAUAUGAUAUAUUGUUUGGAGGUUUACGAAAGAGCCUGUUCAGCUUCGUGUUUUGAAAAGAUCUGGAAACGUUUUAAAAAAUAAAUCGUGCUUGCAACGUGAUACUGUAUUUUAGAACUCCCUAUACAGCAGUCACACAGACAAAGCAUGGUUGUUAGGGAGUUUUAGUUACAUUGACUUUGAAUAGAAAUACAGGUUAUUACUCUAGAAACAAAAGCAAAUGUUAAGCACGCUGCUGCACCAGUAUAAAACAAGUAGGUCUCUUUGCAGAUAUUUACCAUUUUACACAGACAAGGUUCUUCUAGAGCAGGGGUGUGAAACCUUUGGCGUUUCAGAUGUUACGGGAUACAUCUCCCAUGAUGCUUGCCAGCAUUAUUACUAAGAGAAUUAUGGGAGAUUUAGUCUGAGACUUCUGGAGUGCCAAAUAUUGCCUACCCCUGUUCCAGAGGAUCAGGAUGGGUAGGGGUGAUUAUUUCAGAGGAUCAGGAUGUGUAGGUGUGAUUAUUCCAGAGGAUCAGGAUAGGUAUGUGUGAUUAUGAUGGCAAAGCCGGCCUGUUGCUGGUGAGACACUGAUAACUUCCAACACUGGAAAGUAUACAAUUGGAAGAGGAUGGUACAGGACAGUGUGAGGCAUUCUGGUGACCAAAACUGUGUCAGUGGUGUCAUGCCGAAGCUGGAAUUGCCCUCCCACCCAGCUAACUGGAGCUGCUGUUGCACAGAGGUUUGUGGAAGCAUUCUUGUAGGAUUGUAAGAGUUGGGUGAACUGGGUGAGCUAAUUCAGUGACACAUAACUGUACUUUGGGGAGUCUUUUAGUGUACCUUGUAGAGGGACCCAAGAAGGGAAAAAAAAGAAGAGGCGUGGGGAGCAAUGUUCCAAAUCAAGCAGGCAUAAGGAAUUUUAAAAAAAGUCUCACUGUUUCUGUAAGAAUUGGUUGAUUUUAAGAAUUGGUAAAGAGCAGAUUGUGAAAAGCCUCACUAUGGAAGCAACGUGUGACUUUGGAACUGCCAGUGUGCUUAACAGUGAAGCAGGAAGACAGCAGAAAAAAAUACAAUGUUAACCAUUCUCCAUUUCACAUAAGUGCAUGGCUUUUAAAAAAUUGAGUUUGGGAAGAAAAGCAAAAAAAAUAUCCGGAGAACACAGAAAACAUGGAAAAGCCUGUCUCAAUGAGGAGAUCACAUAUUGCUCUUGAAGCAAGGCUAACAAUCUAUUAGAAUGGUAAAAAAAAAUUGACUUUUGAGAUUUUCCUGAAUAAGUCAUGC